GGUUCUUACUGUUGAGAAAGUUUCUCAGCGCCUGCAAAUACGGUCCCACUUUAUUUGGGUAAAUUAUAGGACCUGAGAACGUUAAAAACACUUUUAGGUUAGGGUUGCCUAGGUAUUCGGACUUCGCCUCCGUUGGUUCCAUGAGUUGCUUGACUUGGCAGGAGCUCCGCUGUGGCCCUGGUGACAUUGUUCGUAAUCUCCUGGUUAGGUCGCGGCCUUCCCAGCCGGCGCUGACCCUGAGAGUAAGGGCUGCGUCCCAGCUUGGAGGCCCCUGCUUAGCGCAGGACCUUGGUUGAGAUAGGUAGAUGUAGGAGGAUGAGAGAAACUAACAGCGUUAUGCUAGCAGAAGCCGUAGAGCGCUUACUAUGUCCCAGGCACUGAGCCACAUUCUGCAAGGAUUCACGUAAUCCUCACACACCAGGAGUUGGAUGUUAUCUCCAUCUUGCAUAUGGCAAAAUUAAGUCUUAGAGCUGGUAAACUAGCCCAAGAUUAUGUAGUUACCGCGCAGUGGAGCGUGGAUUUGGAAUCUAGAAGCCUAACUUAGACCCGGUAGCUAACUCAAGAUUGCAUAGUUCCGCGCGGUGGAGCGUGGAGUUGGAAUCCAGAAGCCUAACUUAGACCUGGUAACUAACCGAAGAUUGCAUAGUGCCGCGCGGUGAGCGUGGAGGUGGAAUCCAGAAGUCUAACUUCACUGCCUAGUGCUUGGGGGAAGGAG
rnacentral:lncRNA from 1 species